rnacentral:lncRNA from 1 species
CUGAAGGCCUUUAAUUCAGUUUGCCUCACACCUGGCCUGAAUGUUCUCCAGCGGGCAGACAAUAAAGCCCCACAAGGAGCCACAGAUGUUUGUAGUACACAGCCUUCUGGGUAGUGAGCAAUACCAAACAGGAUGGACAGAGCCCUGAUAGCGUUUGCUGAAGGAAGUGGGCUAGGGUUUUACAGCAAGGGCACAUGGAGAGGACUAGUCUUCCCUAGUUUGUGUGAUCAACAAAGACUUCACAGAGAAGAGCUUCCUGAGUGGGAGACAAAGCCCAAGGUGUUUGGGAAAAUGCAGUGUGUUCCUCAUGGCUGGCACCUGGAGUGGCAGAGGAGCGUAUGGAGCAUGCUAAGAGUGCUGAAGAGUUUCCCUGGCUAGCUGCUGCUCAUUCAGUCGAGGCCCAAGAAUUAAAUCAUAUGGCAGAGGCUGGAUCCCAGACCAUAACAAGGAAACAAUCCCAAGUAGAUCUACAGCUUCAAAGAGGG